AUACGAAGGGGGCUAGCGUUGUUCGGAAUUACUGGGCGUAAAGCGCGCGUAGGCGGAUUGGUCAGUUAGGGGUGAAAUCCCAGGGCUUAACCCUGGAACUGCCUCUAAUACUGCCAGUCUUGAGUUCGGGAGAGGUGAGUGGAAUUCCUAGUGUAGAGGUGAAAUUCGUAGAUAUUAGGAAGAACACCAGUGGCGAAGGCGGCUCACUGGCCCGAUACUGACGCUGAGGUACGAAAGCGUGGGGAGCAAACAGGAUUAGAUACCCUAGUAGUCC
rnacentral:rRNA from 1 species